UGGGGAAUUUUGGACAAUGGGGGCAACCUGAUCCAGCAAUGCCGCGUGUGUGAAGAAGGCCUUCGGGUUGUAAAGCACUUUUGUCCGGAAAGAAAACGUCGUGGUUAAUACCCGUGGCGGCUGACGGUACCGGAAGAAUAAGCACCGGCUAACUACGUGCCAGCAGCCGCGGUAAUACGUAGGGUGCAAGCGUUAAUCGGAAUUACUGGGCGUAAAGCGUGCGCAGGCGGUCCGCUAAGACAGAUGUGAAAUCCCCGGGCUUAACCUGGGAACUGCAUUUGUGACUGGCGGGCUAGAGUAUGGCAGAGGGGGGUAGAAUUCCACGUGUAGCAGUGAAAUGCGUAGAGAUGUGGAGGAAUACCGAUGGCGAAGGCAGCCCCCUGGGCCAAUACUGACGCUCAUGCACGAAAGCGUGGGGGAGCAAACAGGAUUAGAUACCCUGGUAGUCCACGCCCUAAACGAUGUCAACNAGUUG
rnacentral:rRNA from 1 species